AAACAACUCUCGGCAACGGAUAUCUUGGCUCACGCAUCGAUGAAGAACGUAGCAAAAUGCGAUACUUGGUGUGAAUUGCAGAAUCCCGUGAACCAUCGAGUUUUUGAACGCAAGUUGCGCCCGAAGCCACUUGGUUGAGGGCACGUCUGCCUGGGUGUCACGCAU
rnacentral:rRNA from 3 species